rnacentral:rRNA from 1 species
CCUACGGGAGGCAGCAGUGGGGAAUAUUGGGCAAUGGAGGAAACUCUGACCCAGCAACGCCGCGUGAGGGAUGAAGGUUCUCGGAUUGUAAACUUCUGUCGCCAGGGACGAAAAAUGCCGGUACCUAGUAAGAAAGCCCCGGCUAACUACGUGCCAGCAGCCGCGGUAAUACGUAGGUGGCAAGCGUUAUCCGGAAUGACUGGGCGUAAAGGGUGCGUAGGGGGUUUAGUAAGUUGGCGGUGUAAUUCCGGGGCUCAACCUCGGCGCUACCGCCAAAACUAUUAGCCUAGAGUGCAGGAGGGGUAAGUGGAAUUCCUAGUGUAGCGGUGGAAUGCGUAGAUAGUAGGAGGAACACCAGGGGCGAAGGCGACUUACUGGACUGUAACUGACGCUGAGGCACGAAAGCGUGGGGAGCAAACAGGAUUAGAUACCCGAGUAGUC